rnacentral:lncRNA from 10 species
GCGAUUUUGGCUCACUGCAACCUCCGCCUCCAGGGUUCAAGCAAUUCUCAUGGCUUAUCCUCCCCAGUAGCUGGGAUUACAGGCACCUGCCACCAAGCCUGGCUAUUUUUUGUGUUUUUAGUAGAGACAGGGUUUCACCGUGUUGGCCAGGCUAGUCUUGAACUUCUGACCUCAAGUGAUUUGCCCUCCUUGGCCUUCCAAAGUGCUGGGAUUACAGAUGUGCGCUACCACGCCUGGCCUUCAAGUGAUACACUAUUCUAAUCUUGCUUUAUCUGACUCCUCAUCUUCCCGUCUUCCCACAUCCAAUCAGAGAGUUUUUGUUUUUGGCGGUUUUUAUUUUGUUUUGUUUUUUGUUUUUAGAUUUAGUCAUCUGCUCUUUGAUUUUUAUCUAAAUUUUCUCCCUUGGAUAAUUCAUUUAUUGUCAGGAUUUUAUUACCUUUUUGUAGAUAAUUUCUAAACCUCCACUCUACUGUCAACUUUUGAUUGCUCUUUUUUUCCUUUGCAGUACCUAUCAAAUGUAAAGUCUGAAUUUUAAUUUUUAUUAGAACUGAGCUCAUGGUAGGCAUGCAAUAAGUUUUAACAAAAAUGAAUUCUCUGCCAGGCACUAUACUAAUGCUUUACAAAUAUUUAUUCAAUGAACCCUAGACCACUAUGAGGUAGGUACUCUUAAAUCACAGUUUUACAGAUGGGGAAAAACGAGACAGAGAUUAAGUAGCUCAUUAGUGCCAGGUUAUGGACCUAAUACUCUUCUAGAUUUGAAAUUUCUUUCAAUCUUUUUUGUAGAUAAGUCUAGAUAAGUGAAGCAGUGGGAAUGCAGAAGGAACAAAGAAAUCUGUAACUGGUUGUGAGGUGUAAACAUCACUGCACUCAGACCAUAGAUUUGAAGUUUCUUAACCUCAAAACUCUAUUUUAGCUCCAACUAGUAUUAUUUUAAAAUAGGUGGUUUAGCAACACAUAUAUCCAAAAAUGGUUAGAUUCUCCAGAUAUCCAGAAUCUAAACCAUCAUCAGAGUAAAAAGGUAAGAAUAUACUUCAAAGUUUUCUCAAGACAAUCCUGGCCAGAAUGCUUAAGUUUGAGUAGUCAAAUACUUAACAAAAUGAAUAUAAAAAAUUUAGCACUAGCAACUAAUCAACAAACAUGAAUAUAAAUGCUUUAGUAUGAAGAAGCCAUUGAUAGUUGUAAUAACUUUGCAUUGUUAAUUGGUAUCUUACAAAUUACAACUUAUGCAAACAAAAUUAUGUUGGUCUAUAAAUAUUGGUUAAAUGAACAUGUUUCCUGUACAUUUAUAAAUUCUCCAUAUGAAAAAUACUCAUCUGAAAUGCUAAAAGCAAAAAUGUUAUCAGUAGAAAAGCAGCUAUUUUAUGACUUUUUAAAGCAAGUUAUGUCUGUUAUUUUUCACCUGUUUCAAAGGAAUGCAUAAGAUGCUUUUAUAAGUGUUUUUGUUCAUGUAUAACAUACUUAGCACUUACUACAGAUGAAUGCUGUAGACUACUUAAUUUCAAAUGCCUACAUUUUCAAAACAAUGAAGACAUAUUACUGACCAUAAAAUGGAAAUAGCAACCAUUCAAAAUAGUUGAACAUUUAUUGUGUCAUUUACUCUACGGAGGCAAUCUCAUUAUUAAAGAAGUUAUAGCCAGUUUAUGUGCAUAUGUAGGUGCAAGUAUCUAUAAUGUACAUUAUAAUUUGUAACUAUCAAAUAUGUAAGUGUAAUGAAUAUCGGUUUAUUUUGAAUACAAGCUUAUAUAAAACAAAGAUUCGGUGCCUGUGUGCUCUAUAAGGAAUAGUUUCUAUUUCACCUAAAGACUUGAAAGUUGUUUAUAAAAUUUUACCUCUUUUUGUUUUGAGAUUCUGUCUGGCUCUGUUGCCCAGGCUGGAAUUCAGUAGUGCCAUUUUGGCUCAUUGCAACCUGUGCCUCCCGGGCUCAAGUGAACCUCCUACGUCAGCCUCUCAAGUAGCUGGCUAAUUUUUGUAUUUUUUAUAGUUACGGGGUUUCACCAUGUUGCUCAAGCUGAUCUCGAACUCCUGGGCUCAAGUGAUCUGCCCACCUUGGCCUCCCAAAGUGCUGGGAUUACAGGCAUGAGCCACUGCCCCUGGCCCUGACAUAUCUUAAAAAUAAAUAUUUUUGCUUAUAAAUUUGCCUGGGCUUAUCUUUUAUUUGUAAUCUGAGCAUGUCAGUGACAGAAUUUGGUACCAAG